rnacentral:snRNA from 1 species
UGCGUCCUGGUCGGAUGCG